rnacentral:lncRNA from 10 species
GUGGUGGCUUUCAUGCGCGUCCGUGUGAAGAGACCACCAAACAGGCUUUGUGUGAGCAAUAAAGCUGUUUAUUUCACCUGGGUGCAGGUGGGCUGAGUCCGAAAAGAGUCAGCGAAGGGAGAUAGGGGUGGGGCUGUUUUAUAGUAUUUGGGAAGGUAAUGGAAAAUUACAGUCAAAGGGCGGGCAGGAGUGGGGGGUCGCAAGGUGCCUUGCCUAAGGUUUACAUAGUUCCAUUUGAGUGCCUACAUGGGAGUGCUUCAUUUGGUCCCCAAAGCUAGCCUGAGACAAGAACUUUCUUCUCCCCCCCCCGCAAGAGACAGGCUCUUCCCAUGUUGCCCAGGCUGCUCUCCAACUCCUGGCCUCAGGCGAUCCUCCCACCUCGGCCUCCUGAAGUGUUGGGAUGACAGCCAUGAGCCACUGUGCCUGCCCAGUUAUUAUUUUAUAAAUGUAGAAACCGAGGCACUGAGAGGUAAAGUAACUUGCACAGGAUCACAAGCCAGCCGAGAAGUGGUAGAGCUUGGAUUUGAACUUACACAAUCUGGGACUCAUACUCUUAAUACACAGUGGUACUGUCAAUACAGGAGACACAUGUGGCUAUUUAAUUAAAAGUAGUUGGGCAGAGUGGCUCACUCCUAUAAUCUCAGCAUUUGGGGAGGCCAAGGCAGGAAGAUUGUUUGAGCCCAGAAGUUCAACACUGCAGUGAGCUAUAGUUACACCACUGUGCUCCAGCCUGGGCGACACAGCGAGACCCUGACUCCAAAAAAAAAUCUUAAGGUUUUUUUUUUUUUUUUUUUUUUUUUGAGACAGGGUCUCGCUCUGUUGCCCAGGCUAGAAUUUAGCGGCACGAUCACAGAUCAUCACAGCCACGCACGACCUCCUUGGCUCAAGGGAUUCCUCCCACCUCAGCCUCUCACGUAGCUGGGACUACAGGUAUGCAUAACCUCGCUGGGCUCGUUACUUUGUUUUUUUUUUAGAGGCAGGAUUUCACCAUGUUGCCCAGGGUGGUCUCGUACUCCUGGAUUCAAGCAAUCCUCCUGCUUCGGCCUCCCAAAGUGUCAGGAUUACAGGCGUGAGCCACUGUGCCCAGUCUCAAACAAAAUUAAAAAUUCAGUUUCUCAGUCACACUAGCCACAUUUCAAGUGCUCAGAAACUUUAUGUGGGGCCAGGCAUGGUGGCUCAUGCCUGCAAUCCCAGCACUUUGGGAGGCCGAGGCGGGCGGAUCACGAGGUCAGGAGUUCGAGACCAGCCUAACCAACAUGGUGAAACCCUGUCUCUACUAAAAAAAUACAAAAAUUAGCCGGGCGUGGUGGUGUGCGCCUGUAAUCUCAGCUACUUGGGAGGUUGAGGCGGGAGCAUUGCUUGAACCCGGGAGGCGGAGGAUGUGGUGAGCCGACGUCGUGCCAUUGCACUCCAGCCUGGGCAAUAAGAGCGAAACUCCGUCUCAAAAAAAAAAAACAAAGGUUUAUGUGGCCACUGGCUACUGUACUGGACAGUACAGACCUAGAACAUGAACCAAACAUCACAGAAAGUUCCAGUGGAGAACACUGCUACAUAUCUGCCUGUUUUAGUUAGAAGCCAACAUUUUAUUUUUAUUUUAUUUUAUUUUUUGAGAUGGAGUUUCGCUGCUGUUGCCCAGGCUGGAGUGCAAUGGUGCGAUCUCGGCUCACCACAACCUCCGCCUCCCAGGUUCAAGCAAUUCUCCUGCCUCAGCCUCCUGAGUAGCUGGGAUCACAGGCAUGCUCCACCACGCCCAGCUAAUUUUGUAUUUUUAGUAGAGAUGGGGUUUCU